GGGGCUAUAGCUCAGCUGGGAGAGCGCUUGCAUGGCAUGCAAGAGGUCAGCGGUUCGAUCCCGCUUAGCAAC
rnacentral:tRNA from 1 species